UACGGGGGGGGCAAGCGUUGUUCGGAAUUACUGGGCGUAAAGGCUCGUAGGCGGCCAACUAAGUCAGACGUGAAAUCCCUCGGCUUAACCGGGGAACUGCAUCUGAUACUGGAUGGCUUGAGUUCGGGAGAGGGAUGCGGAAUUCCAGGUGUAGCGGUGAAAUGCGUAGAUAUCUGGAGGAACACCGGUGGCGAAGGCGGCAUCCUGGACCGACACUGACGCUGAGGAGCGAAAGCCAGGGAGCAAACGGG
rnacentral:rRNA from 1 species